AUGGGAGGAUAACGGAAGCCACAUGGUUAAAGCACACUAGGAGUCACACUAACAUUUGUGCUGUGUGCCAGACACGGUGCACAGACCUUGACUAAAGUAUCCGAUUUGUGACUCAGGUCAACCCUGGGAGCACCUGGACAGUGGACGGCCUCAAUACCAAGAUUCAGGUGAAGUGGCCACUGCGGGGGAGUGGUAGCUGUGGCCCCAUCAGACCCCACAUCUGCAAAAUGUGGAUUCCGCCACCCACCUCAUAGGGUGGAGAACGGGCACAGAGAGCUCUCCAGACAGCAAGUCGCUCCCCCUUGCCCCACCCCUCAUAAGCUCGGCUGCUUCCUGGACUGCGGUUGCAUCUCCUUAAAUGCAGCCUGCUCUGGCACUCCGGCCCUCCCUGGCAUCCGGUCUCCAGGCCCCAAGGAACUGAAAUUCCUUUGGUGACUGUAGCUCUGACCUUUCCCCAGCCUCAUGUGGACACAGGAGGGACACUGGGCUGGGGAUGUGAUAACCUGGGGCCGUGAGGGGGACCCAGAGCAUGAAUCGUGGCCUGUGCCUGGACCUUUCGUGAAUACAGGACCUGUCUUGGUUCAUCACCGUGAGCUGGUUCUGUGGGUGGACGCACUGCCCUCCCAGCGCCGUGCCGUGCAGAAAUCCUCCCUCACCUGAUGCAUCCAAACAGGAUGGUGGACACCAAGAAAAAUGCCUCUGAGAAUGGGGCCAGACAUCUCAGCUUGGGCCUUUGCUUCCCACGGAGGGCUACAGAGGACCUCACGGAAGGUUUAAAGACAAAGCCUGGCUGGGUGGGUCCUGGGAUCCCCUAACACAUGAAUACCUGCAUUCACAGGUACCUACUAAGCCCCGACUACGUGGCCGGUCCUGAACACUGGGAAUGCAGAUAAAUGCAGUAGACAAAGGUGACUACUUUGUUGAGCUGU